rnacentral:rRNA from 1 species
GACGUAGGAGGCGAGCGUUGUCCGGAUUCAUUGGGCGUAAAGAGCACGCAGGCGGUUUUGGUAAGUCGGAUGUGAAAACCCGAGGCUCAACCUCGGGCGUGCAUCCGAAACUGCUCGGCUAGAGGUAGGUAGGGGAGAUCGGAAUUCCUGGUGUAGCGGUGAAAUGCGCAGAAUAUCAGGAGGAACACCGGUGGCGAAGGCGGAUC